CGCCUUCAGCCCCCCAAUUGAAGGUCCGACCUGCCCAGUGAACCUUUUAAACGGCCGCGGUACCCUGACCGUGCUAAGGUAGCAUAAUCCCUUGCCUUUUAAUUGAUGGCUAGUAUGAAUGGUCAGACGAGCGUAAAAUUGUCUCUAGCAAGCCCCUAUUAAACUAACCUUUAGGUGCAAAGGCCUAAACAACCAAGGAGGACAAGAAGACCCUAUCGAGCUUUAUACUAAGUGUGUCCUCAACUUUUCACUCACCUCCUAUUUUGUUGGGGCAACAAAGGACCAACCAAACCGUCCUCCUCCUUAAACUGCUAAUCAGCAUAAUCUAUUCCUAAUCCCAAGAACAAAAAUGCUACCGUAGGGAUAACAGACCAAUCCUCCCCGAGAGCCCACAUUGACGGGAGGGCUUGGCACCUCGAUGUUGGCUUAGGACUCUCUGUAAGAAGCAGCCCUCUUAUUAGUAGGUUUGUUCAACCUUUAAAGUCCUA
rnacentral:rRNA from 1 species